rfam:Triticum urartu cultivar G1812 contig49484, whole genome shotgun sequence.
UAUGCACUUCCUCCGUUUCAAAUUACUCGUCGGAAAAAUGGAUAUAUCUAGAAUUAAAAUACAUCUAGAUACAUCCAUACAUGUGACAAGUAAUUUGGAACGGAGGGAGUACCAU